AGUGAACGCUGGCGGUAGGCCUAACACAUGCAAGUCGAACGGCAGCACAGUAAGAGCUUGCUCUUACGGGUGGCGAGUGGCGGACGGGUGAGGAAUACAUCGGAAUCUACUUUUUCGUGGGGGAUAACGUAGGGAAACUUACGCUAAUACCGCAUACGACCUACGGGUGAAAGCAGGGGAUCUUCGGACCUUGCGCGAUUGAAUGAGCCGAUGUCGGAUUAGCUAGUUGGCGGGGUAAAGGCCCACUAAGGCGACGAUCCGUAGCUGGUCUGAGAGGAUGAUCAGCCACACUGGAACUGAGACACGGUCCAGACGCCUACGGGAGGCAGCAGUGGGGAAUAUUGGACAAUGGGCGCAAGCCUGAUCCAGCCAUACCGCGUGGGUGAAGAAGGCCUUCGGGUUGUAAAGCCCUUUUGUUGGGAAAGAAAAGCAGCAGGUUAAUACCCCGCUGUUCUGACGGUACCCAAAGAAUAAGCACCGGCUAACUUCGUGC
rnacentral:rRNA from 1 species